rnacentral:tRNA from 1 species
GCCCGGGUGACGGAACCGGUAGACGUGGCGGACUUAAAAUCCGCUGCCCUCGAGAGGGCGUGUGGGUUCGAGUCCCACCCCGGGCACCA